rnacentral:misc_RNA from 1 species
GGAAGUAAACGUCGUAACAAGGUCUCCGUAGGUGAACCUGCGGAGGGAUCAUUCACAUGAUUUACUUUAUAAACAAACCGUGAACUUUAUUAUAUACUAUUCUUGUAGGGAUUAUUUUAUAAUCUUUUACAACGUCAUUCGAUGAACAUUAGAUAGCUGGCUCGUUUAUUUAUAAACUUUCUCAGCUGAUUUGUUUGUUAGACUAAACAUCUAUUCAAUCAAUCAACCAAACAUAGAAACAACUCUAUGCCCUGGAUAUCUUGGUUCUC